GGGGCUGUGGGGUAGCUUGGCUAGCCUUUCUGGUUUGGGACCAGACGACCCCGGUUCAAAUAGCCUUUUAUUUAA
rnacentral:tRNA from 1 species